UACGUAGGGGGCAAGCGUUGUCCGGAUUUAUUGGGCGUAAAGAGCGUGUAGGCGGCUCGAUCAGUCUGCUGUGAAAGUCCAGGGCUCAACCCUGGGAUGCCGGUAGAUACUGUCGAGCUAGAGUCCGGAAGAGGCGAGUGGAAUUCCUGGUGUAGCGGUGAAAUGCGCAGAUAUCAGGAGGAACACCAAUGGCGAAGGCAGCUCGCUGGGACGGUACUGACGCUGAGACGCGAAAGCGUGGGGAGCAAACAGG
rnacentral:rRNA from 1 species